GUUCCGGUGUUGUUGUUGGUUCUUCGGUUGUUGUAGAAGUUUCAGUUGUUGUUGUUUCUUGUGUUACUGAUUGCGCUGUUGUUGUUGUUUCCUCUGCAGUUGGGACUGGAGUAAUCGUUGUUACGGGAGCUUCCGUUAUAUUAAUAUUAAGAAAAGAACACUAAUGGAAAGACUUACGUAACCAGUGCCAAUGCUGGAGUAGUUUUUAUGGACGAUAAAUUUGGACACGGAUCUCGUAAUGGAGCCCGUUCCUCCACCAGUUACAUUCAACGUAUUCAGGUACACCUUGGAAUACCAUAUCUCAUCGGCGCUGGUGGAAUGUCUGGCAAAGAAAUCAUCACAGAGUAACGCAGUGGGCCGCUGUCAAGACAUAGGAAGGAGCAAUUAAAGUUCCAGCACAAGCACUCCGUACGGAAAGAAUACUUGCCUGCAAUGAAAUGUUAUAUUCAAUACGAAUCUUGACAUGAAUAAGAAAAUAGGGCAUCAGGAGAAAAUGAGAGAGCAAUUACCGUAAAUGGAUAUUGGCCAGCUGGAGCGUCGAUUCCACCAAUGAUUCUCAAGUUUUUAGCGUCAUUUUCUAAUUAAAUUAAAUUAAAUUACUUAUUUGGUGAAAUAAUUCUACUUGUGUAUCAUAAGUUUAUACAGAUCAUUACCUCCAGCAAUGUUGAGGAAAGAUUUUGAAAAAGUGGAUCCAACCAAAAAAAGGAAGGUAGUAAUAGUCUAAUAUCAUUAAAGUAGACUUAAACGUAAACGCAAGAGUGAGAGAAAAAUAAUUGCCGAAAAUAUUACCCAAACAUUAAGAUGCAUUGUUUGAAAAGUGUCGAGCCUUGAGCGGACCUCAAAAUGCCAGUGGUCGGGUAAGGCGCUCAACUAAUUCCAUUUGCUGAGGUAACCCCUUAAUAUAUUUGAAA